GAUCAGGGAGGGGGAUCAAUUUCAUCUUAAACUUGUGGAAAGGAAAGUUUUGGAGCCCAUGAUCAGAACUCUCCUCUCAGAGAAGCAAGACACUGAACAGACAGAAUGAACAGAAUACAGUACAGAAACAAUGAAGUACAGAAAAGCAUUUUAUAAAAUACAGAGAGCAUGGAGAUAUUAAAGGCACAUUAAGGAAAUGUCAUGGUGGCCACUCCGUCCUUUAAUGGACCAAAAACUGAAAUGUUUGGAGGUAUGGAUAAUGUUCUGUUCAGAAAGGUAUUACCGUGGCUGGGUUGGGCAUAUGGUUGUUUCAUGGAACCUACAUUGAUGUCUAUCCAGCCUUGCUUACAAUACUAACCAAUAUUUGCAUUACAUAAUUUUAUUGGGCAAACGCCAAUUCGAAUUCAGUUGUAGAUAAAGGGGGUUGUUUAAAUGUAAUGAUGACGCUAUUGUUUUUACUGUUUUUUUGUUUGUUGGUUUUACUUCUGUGUUGGUUGGUUGGUUGGUUGGUUGGUUGUGAAAUAAAUGUAAAGCUCCUAAAAGCAGUGAUGGUGCAUUGUCUGCAUAAAAUCAGUUACAGACAUGUAGAAUCGGAUAAACUCAGGUAUGGUGGGAUCUGCUGCCAGUCUGUGGGUUUGGAAUGGAAGCUUGCCAUUCACUGUGUAUACAGUCAGUAUGUCGAACCUCACAAAGGUACACAUGGGCUGGGUAUGCGGGCUCAUUGUACACAUAGUGAGUGAGGACCUCAUGACUGCAUACCCAUCCUGUGUGUGCUGGGACAAUGUUUACAAGAACCCUGCUCUCUGCACACACUGCCACACAUACAGUGAGCAUCACCGACAUCAAAAUUAGUAAUGCUGAUUGCACGCGGGUGUAGAGAACCAGGUGCCUGUAAACAUUGUCCUGGCAUGCACAGUGAGAUGUAGUGGCGGUAUAAAGGACGUGCCAUUGAGAAUGCAUUCUGAGUGAUACCAAACUUGUCUGAUCUGAACUAGAAACUGCACAAUAAGGCGAAACGCGUAUUCUCUUCUGGUUGUGUAAUUCUAUGUCGACAGGUCUUCAAGGACUAUCUGAUAAUCCUUUCACUUUUAGGUUAAGAAUCAGUUUGGGCACUAUCUUGUCUUUCAGGGAUUGUUGUUGUUUUUUUAUAGAUACCUUUAAAACCAGUAUAAAAAGGAUUAAUAUUAAAGGUUUUAACAGAUGCGGUUCAUGUCUGAUUUGCCGAACAACAAGUAAUAACAACAAUCCAAGGAAAACCACCACUUUUCAGAUAAAUAACAAUAAAAUCUUUAUGAUCAACAGUUUCGUUACAUGCCACCCUCAAAAUGAUAUUUAUUUUCUAGAGUGCACAUGUGGGUUAAUAUAUGUAGGCACAACCACCAGGAACCUUAAAACACAUAUGUCAGAACAUAUAUAUAAUAUCAGAAAGGGACAGUUAAGUCACCCCCUUUCUGAACAUUUUAGAAUUACCUACAAUAGUUCAGAGGCAUGUAUUAAAAGAUAUAUAGAUAUACAACAAGUUAGGGAAUACUGGAGAACAAGGGAUUUGGAACAAAGACUAGCAAAAAAAAAAAGAUGCAAUAGAUCUAUUCCAUUAAUAGUCUAUUUACAAAUGGGCUGAAUUCAAACUUUGAAUUAAAAUGGUUUUUAAAUUAAAAUGCAAUUUAAAUUAUGUUUUUUAACCUGCAUUUUUAUUUUAUCUCUUCACAUAUUUCUCCUGGAUCUACUUGAAAAUAUGCGUACUUUAAAUUCCAUGCACCAAUGAGGGUUGGACAAUGCGGGAAUACAAAGAACCACGGUAGUUGUGAAUGGUGCAGGAGAUAUGUCCAAUUGUCUGGAAUGGUAAACACAAAAACCGACCCACUAAAGAAUCCAUAUCAUUCGGAAUAGUGUAAUACAUAAAUUGUAACGCAUAUGACACACCCCCAUUGUCUCCAUGGCUCAACGUAUACUUCCGGUUUCCGAUGGAACGCAUACUUCCGUCUACCGGUAAUAGCGGUGGAACGCAAACGGCGGGAGAACCAUUUUCCGGAUCUACAGUUUAAUAUCAGCAAAUACUGAGGCAUAGCAUGCUGCACUUGAAAAAGGAUCAUCAACAAGAUCUGGAAGUGCUGUGCCAAACACUAUGCCACAUUAGAUGGACUCCUGAGGACUCAACUAUUCUGACUUGUGCAAAGCCGGGUGGUGUGUGGCUGAACUUGCCUACACGUUAUCUAUCGUAAGCACACACCACCAGCCACAAGCUGUAUGAGCCAGGAGUAACCUACCAUAUGUCACUUUUUGCACUUUACAACUCUUUAAAUAAUUUAUUGUUAUGUUAUAUACUAAGCUGUGCACUGUGCCACAAUUUAUGCUUAUUGUAUAUGAAUAUUUAAUAUAAUUGUACCUUCCCCUUUUUAUCCAUACCAAAAAAUUUGAGUGUGGUUUAUUAAGGGAGAUACAUUAAAUUCCAGUAAUCUGGAAUCAAUAUCCCUCAAGAGUAAGCGCUAAGGUUUUUUACCUUCAUCUUUUUUAUCAUAUACUUUACAAGUAACGAGGUGUCUAACUUGUUUGGUAAAAAAACAUUGCUGCAUAUACUCUGUUCGCUGCACAUUUGUGAUACUCUGCACUGCACCCUGAUUCUCUAUAAUUAACCUACUGGAAAUUGGAGUACCCAGAGGAAACCCACACAAGUGGAGAGAAUAUACAGACUCCACACAGUUAGGGCCAUGGUGGGAAUCAAACCCAUGACCUCAUUGCUGUGAGGCAGUAAUGCUAAUCAUUACACCAUCCGUGCUGCUAACCAUUAUUACACCCAUAAAGCUAACCAUUACACCAUCUUGA